GAUCUUGCAGCACGGAUCGUGUCAGGAGACACGGGCCGUGUUUGGCUCCAGGAUUUUGCUUUUUUAUUUUAUUUUUUUCUUUAACUCUUCCGUCCUCAUCCAUGUCAUGAUUAGAGAGGCAUCUUGGCCUAGGAAGAUUCACAAUUAUCUCAGAAAGAUCCAUUGGCAAUCAGUGCAAUCAGUUCCUGAUCAGUUUGCCCUAAAACUAGGGUUUGGUAUAAAAUCAGUUUAUUUCUGAUUCUUUGGGUGAAACUCUU
rnacentral:lncRNA from 1 species